CAGCAGCCGCGGUAAUGCGUAGGGUGCGAGCGUUUAUCGGAAUUACUGGGCGUAAAGCGUGCGCAGGCGGUUUUGUAAGACAGGCGUGAAAUCCCCGGGCUCAACCUGGGAAUGGCGCUUGUGACUGCAAAGCUAGAGUGUGUCAGAGGGGGGUAGAAUUCCACGUGUAGCAGUGAAAUGCGUAGAGAUGUGGAGGAAUACCGAUGGCGAAGGCAGCCCCCUGGGCCAAUACUGACGCUCAUGCACGAGAGCGUGGGGAGCAAACAGGAUUAGAUACCCGCGUAGUCCCUGUCUCUUAUAC
rnacentral:rRNA from 1 species